UACAGAGGUCUCAAGCGUUGUUCGGAAUCACUGGGCGUAAAGGGUGCGUAGGCGGCUUGGUAAGUCAGAUGUGAAAGCUCAGGGCUCAACCCUGAAAUUGCAUCCGAUACUGCCAGGCUAGAGAACUGGAGAGGUGUCUAGAAUUCUCGGUGUAGCAGUGAAAUGCGUAGAUAUCGAGAGGAAUACCAAUGGCGAAGGCAGGACACUGGACAGUUUCUGACGCUGAGGCACGAAGGCUAGGGUAGCGAAC
rnacentral:rRNA from 1 species